GCCAGCAUGGUGUAGUGGUUUGAGCAUUGGACUAUGAAUCUGGAGACCUGGGUUCGAAUCCCUGCUUGGCC
rnacentral:tRNA from 1 species